GCGCCUGUAGCUUAAUCGGAUAGAGCGUUGGUCUUCGGAACCAAAGGUUGGGGGUUCGAGUCCCUCCAGGCGCG
rnacentral:tRNA from 3 species